CUCUUUCAAUUCCUUUCAUCUUACCCAUUCAAUUCCCCCUUCUUCCUCAUUCAACUUCUUCUUCAUUCAAGUUCAACGCUGCUUCACCCACUCAACCCAUCGGUUAUGAUAAACCUGCUUAGUCUACAGGUGCAUUUGAGCAAAGGCAACCAAACCUAGUAGAGCAACAGCUUCCAUCACGAGCCAAUCACCAAAUCUAGCUGACCUUUUUUGGAAUUUUUUUGUAGAUUUGAUUUUUUUUUAUUAUUUUUAACUUUGUUUAUUGAUUGUUAUUUGGGGCUGAACUAACACGGAUUAGUUUAUUUG